GACGAACGCUGGCGGCGCGCUUAACACAUGCAAGUCGAGCGAUGAAAUUUCGACAGAUCCCUUCGGGGUGAAGAUGAAAUGGAUUAGCGGCGGACGGGUGAGUAACACGUGAGUAACCUGCCUUUGACAUUGGGAUAGCCUCGGGAAACUGGGAUUAAUACCAAAUGACACUAACUGAUCACAUGAUCAAUUAGUCAAAGAAAUUCGGUCAAAGAUGGACUCGCGGCUGAUUAGCUAGUUGGUGAGGUAACGGCCCACCAAGGCGACGAUCAGUAGCCGGGCUGAGAGGGUGAUCGGCCACAUUGGAACUGAGACACGGUCCAAACUCCUACGGGAGGCAGCAGUGGGGAAUAUUGCACAAUGGGGGAAACCCUGAUGCAGCGACGCCGCGUGAGCGAAGAAGGCCUGCGGGUCGUAAAGCUCUUUUAUGAGGGAAGAUAAUGACGGUACCUAAAGAAAAAGCCCCGGCUAACUACGUG
rnacentral:rRNA from 1 species